AACGAACGCUGGCGGCAGGCUUAACACAUGCAAGUCGAACGCCCCGCAAGGGGAGUGGCAGACGGGUGAGUAACGCGUGGGAACGUACCUUUCAGUUCGGAAUAACUCAGGGAAACUUGUGCUAAUACCGGAUACGCCCGCAAGGGGAAAGAUUUAUCGCUGAAAGAUCGGCCCGCGUUGGAUUAGCUAGUUGGUGGGGUAAAGGCCUACCAAGGCGACGAUCCAUAGCUGGUCUGAGAGGAUGAUCAGCCACACUGGGACUGAGACACGGCCCAGACUCCUACGGGAGGCAGCAGUGGGGAAUAUUGGACAAUGGGCGCAAGCCUGAUCCAGCCAUGCCGCGUGUGUGAUGAAGGCCUUAGGGUUGUAAACUGCUUUUCCCCGGGGCGAAUAACCCCCUCGCGAGGGGGAGUGCCGGUACCGGGGAACGUAAGGAUCGGCUAACUCCGUGCCGAGCAGCCGCGGUAAUCUCGUCUCUA
rnacentral:rRNA from 1 species